GGGCCCAUAGCUCAGCUGGGAGAGUGCUGCGUUCGCAAUGCAGAGGUCAGGGGUUCGAUCCCCCUUGGGUCCACCA
rnacentral:tRNA from 1 species